rnacentral:rRNA from 1 species
AUACGGAGGGUGCAAGCGUUGUUCGGAAUUACUGGGCGUAAAGCGCGUGAAGGCGGCCGACUAAGUCUGGUGUGAAAGCCCGGGGCUCACCCCCGGAAGAGCAUUGGAAACUGGACGGCUAGAGUACCGGAGAGGAGGGUGGAAUUCCUGGUGUAGCGGUGAAAUGCGUAGAUAUCAGGAAGAACACCAGUGGCGAAGGCGGCCCUCUGGACGGAUACUGACGCUGAGACGCGAAAGCGUGGGGAGCAAACAGGAUUAGAAACCCCAGUAGUCC